rnacentral:lncRNA from 1 species
GGAGAGAUUCUGUAUGACCUAUUUAUGCCAUAAACAGAACAAUCAUAUACCAAGGAGACAAAGGAUUUCAUGUUUUCUAAGAUUGGCAAAGUCCAGCUAUCCCAUCUUUGGGUUACGAAGUCGUUGUUGCCAAGGAAAAUCAUCCUUGAUGUGUAGCUUGAAGUUUCAAAGUCAUGCCAUCCUGUUGAGGGUUGCAAAGUCUUUGUUUCUGUAUUAUUAAAUACAUGACUAGAAUGAAUGAAAAAUAUCAACUACUAAAUUGAAUGUCUAGUGAAACAUAUACUGCUAAUUAUAAGAGUCAACCGAGACAAUUCCCUAUAUCCUUUGUUGAAUCAAAAAAUCUAUACCACAAUAAUAAAGAAAAGAUAAUGAUCUUUAAGGCUCCUCAAUUAUAGGAGUGAUUACCAAUCAGCUAGACGUAAGGUGCUACCAAACGUCUAGCAACAAGCCUUAUGGUUGAGUGUCUGAAUAUAUAUUACUUGAAAAUAUAGUGCAAAAUUCAUUAAAUAUAAUGGAGUGUAUUUGUACUUAAUUAUAUACAUAUAUAUAAUAUAACUUGAAGAACUUAGAAUGAAAACAUGUUGAGAGUAUCUUAAAACAAUUCAAAACUUUAGUUGAUAAUUCAUUAGAUAUAAAGUCUGUAUUAUAGUGUUUCAUAAGUAUAUAAGUAAUAUAUUACAUAAAGUUUAUUCAUUUGGAGAUAUUUCAUAAAAAAAAAUCACCAUGUGAGAUCAUGAUGCCCAGUUUCAUGUACACACAUUAGAAAAGGAUAUUCUUAUAAUCAGCCAAGGUUAGAACUAUGUAUGUUGAUUAAAAUUCAUACCUCUUUGGUGAAAUUUUCUGGGACAAUAUAGUUAUGGAGCUUGGGUUAUUUGAUCCCUUGUUCUCCUAGUACUAAAUAUACUCUUAAAAGCAUACUAAUACUCUAUAACAUCUCUGAAUCAUACAUUUGAGUCUAUGCUCAAUAUACAUGUAUAAUGCACUGUAGUUAACCUUUUCUCAAUUAUAUGUCAUGACUUAUAUGCAUAAAAUCCAUGUAUCAAAAAGUGUGUCUUUUUAAUAAACAAAUCAUAAUUAAUAACUAAAUCUCUAAAGCAUGAGUUCUAAUGCAUAUAAUAGAAUUUGGUAUAGUCGUCAUAAGAUCAUUACAAACACUUUUCAUCAAACUAAAAUUAAAUAUGUAAGGAAAGAAACUUUGCUGAUGUAUGCAUAAAUAAUAGAUUUUAUCAUAAUUUUAUGAUAUCUUGAACAUACUUGGUGUUCCACCUAAGCACAUGCACAAAUGUACAUGGUCUCACCAAUUAAUAUUGUUUCCUUUAAUAAACCAAGUAUCGAUCCCUCAGAGACUUGUGCAAGGGCAUAGACGUGAGCAAUGUUGUAACAAAACUGUUUAUCUUUUUGUGGCUCCAUAAGUUUUUGACUUAUAAAUCAAAAUAGAUACUACGAAAUUAUCUCUAGCGGGAGGGAAAUUUAAGCUCCCUUGGAAAAUUUUACAUGCCAUGUGCUGAAAGCUAUUUGCAUUCAUCAUUUGUAAACUUGUGUUAUCUAGAACUUGCCUUGUUUGUUGUUUAAGGCUAAAUUUAAUUGUAUUUGUUUGGAGAAAUGAUCUUAGGAUAAUUUUUGGAAUUGGAAACCCACUCUAGCCUAAAAAUCCUACUCAUGCAUGAAUACAAUCCCUAGUCACCCACUUCAUGCCUAAGGACCUUUCUUUGGAAAACUCAUUACAAACCGUGAACCAUUCUUAUAUCCCUCUUUUAAAACACACCCUUCUUGAAUUUAAAAAUUAAACUUGAGGCUAAACCCUAAGAUAGACAUAGUAAAGAUUGACAGAAGUAAGUUUGGGGCCACGAAGUUGUAAAUGAAAUACCUAUUGUGCCUUAGCAUUGAAAGAAAAUGAAUAGAAAAAAAAGGAUCAAACAAAGGAAUGAAUUGCACUAGAGUGCAAGAAAAAGAAAUAAAAGAAAAUUGGUGAACAAGGAAGGCAAAAGGUAGGCAUAAAAAAUGAGAGAAAACAAAGAAGAGUGGCCCAUAGUAAAAAAAGUGGAUUGAAAAGUUUUAUGUAGAUGUUCAAAGAAGGGUGUAUCCAUG